rnacentral:rRNA from 1 species
AUUGAACGCUGGCGGCAGGCUUAACACAUGCAAGUCGAGCGGAGCGAGGGUGCUUGCACCUUAGCUUAGCGGCGGACGGUUGAGUAAUGCUUAGGAAUCUGCCUAUUAGUGGGGGACAACAUUCCGAAAGGAAUGCUAAUACCGCAUACGCCCUACGGGGGAAAGCAGGGGAUCUUCGGACCUUGCGCUAAUAGAUGAGCCUAAGUCGGAUUAGCCAGUUGGUGGGGUAGAGGCCUAGCACGGCGACGAUCUGUAGCGGGUCUGAGAGGAUGAUCCGCCACACUGGGACUGAGAAACGGCACAGACUCCUACGGGAGGCAGCAGUGGGGAAUAUUGGACAAUGGGCGGAAGCCUGAUCCAGCCAUGCCGCGUGUGUGAAGAAGGCCUUUUGGUUGUAAAGCACUUUAAGCGAGGAGGAGGCUACUUAGAUUAAUACUCUGGGAUAGUGGACGUUACUCGCAGAAUAAGCACCGGCUAACUCUGUGCCAGCCGCCGCAGUAA